rnacentral:rRNA from 1 species
AAAGGAAUUGACGGGGACCCGCACAAGCGGUGGAGCAUGUGGUUUAAUUCGAAGCAACGCGAAGAACCUUACCUGGGCUUGACAUCCCCCCGACCGUCCUCUAAUCGGGACUUCCCUUCGGGGCGGGGGAGACAGGUGGUGCAUGGUUGUCGUCAGCUCGUGUCGUGAGAUGUUGGGUUAAGUCCCGCAACGAGCGCAACCCUUAUCCUUAGUAGCCAGCAUUAAGUUGGGCACUCUAGGGAGACUGCCGGGGAUAACCCGGAGGAAGGUGGGGAUGAUGUCAAAUCAUCAUGCCCCUUAUGUCCAGGGCUACACACGUGCUACAAUGGCGCAAACAAAGGGAAGCGAAGGGGUGACCCGGAGCAAAUCCCAAAAACAGCGUCCCAGUUCGGAUUGCAGGCUGCAACCCGCCUGCAUGAAGCCGGAAUCGCUAGUAAUCGCGGAUCAGAAUGCCGCGGUGAAUACGUUCCCGGGUCUUGUACACACCGCCCGU